GAUGAACGCUGACAGAAUGCUUAACACAUGCAAGUCUACUUGAACUUCGGUUUGGGUGGCGGACGGGUGAGUAACGCGUAAAGAACUUGCCUCACAGUUAGGGACAACAUUUGGAAACGAAUGCUAAUACCUGAUAUUAUGAUUUUAGGGCAUCCUAAAAUUAUGAAAGCUAUAUGCGCUGUGAGAGAGCUUUGCGUCCCAUUAGCUAGUUGGAGAGGUAACGGCUCACCAAGGCGAUGAUGGGUAGCCGGCCUGAGAGGGUGAACGGCCACAAGGGGACGGAGGCACGGCCCUUACCCCUUCGGGGGGCAGGAGUGGGGAAUAUUGGACCAUGGACCAAAAGUCUGAUCCAGCCAUUCUGUGUGCACGAUGACGUUUUUCGGAAUGUAAAGUGCUUUCAGUUGGGAAGAAAAAAAUGACGGUACCAACAGAAGAAGUGACGGCUAAAUACGUG
rnacentral:rRNA from 1 species